rnacentral:rRNA from 1 species
UCAACGCUGGCGGCGUGCCUCAGACAUGCAAGUCGAACGAUUAAAGCUCUCUUCGGAGAGUGUAUAGAGUGGCGCACGGGUGAGUAACACGUAAGUAAUCUACCUUCGAGUGGGGAAUACCGUCCGGAAACGGACGCUAAUACCGCAUAAUGCAUUAGCAUCGCAAGAUGCCAUUGUUAAAGAUUUAUCGCUUGAAGAGGAGCUUGCGGCAGAUUAGCUAGUUGGUAAGGUAACGGCUUACCAAGGCUACGAUCUGUAACCGGUCUUAGAGGACGGUCGGUCACACUGACACUGAAUAACGGGUCAGACUCCUACGGGAGGCAGCAGUCGGGGAAUUUUGGGCAAUGGGCGAAAGCCUGACCCAGCAACGCCGCGUGAAGGAUGAAGUAUUUCGGUAUGUAAACUUCGAAAGAAUGGGAAGAAUC